GUAUGAUGAAAUAAGAUCUAUUCUAUGAAAUGUUAUGUUCUGUAAAAUGAAUGAUUGUCCAACUUUUGACAAGUAUUCGGGGCUUAAGUAAGUUAUCUGUUCCAGGUCCGAAGGUUCCUGUAUGGAACUAACAAGUUAUCUGUACCCAGCCGGAGGUUCCUUAAUGACAAGUUAUCCGUAUUCGGUCUCGAGGUUCCUUGAUGGAACUGACAAGCUAUUUGUACUCGGCUGGAGGUUCCUUUAUGGAACUGACAAGUAUGAUCUUCGAUGCUCCGUAUGUGAUCUGUUAGCGCUAACGAAUGUGAGCAGACGCGUGACCAGGCCUAAGCUGCUGCCCGGCGAGUUUUGGGUCAGCCAAUCACCAUGCCUCUCGAGGAGGUUCCUUUUUGAGAAGUCAAGUUUUGUGGUCCUGUUGAAGAUGUUCUUUUGUUUUUGUUUGGUUUGUCUACUUGUACAUUAGGUGAAGUCCCUUAUGAUGCUAUGUGUAUGGAAGUUUGACAUCAUAUAAGUUUCAAAUAUUGUCUGUUUCAUGCA